CUGAAGAACAGGUUGAGGCUGCAGUGCUACAGACUUUACGGUAGCUCUCCCCCUGGGGAGAAUUACAGCACCGCGCGAGGAGGGGGCGCCGACUCCAUGGGUGCUCCGGGGCUGGAGCACCCACAGGAAAAAAUUAGUGAGUGCUCUGCACCUGCCGGCAGCCAAACAUGAGAACAGCAUGAGGAAGCAAGCCCUAUAGACUUGAAUGAGGAUAAAUCCUUAUAAAAAUAGGCCCUGAAGACUUUGGGUCUGAUUCUGCAAACCAACUUCCAGGAGCAUCAGAUGCACAUCUGACAAGGCCCUGCUCCCUCCUCGUGUCCAGGCCACCUGGCCAGUGGCUUGGCACAAGCAACUCUAAGUCUGGAAACAAUCCACUAAGGAACUGGAUGCUUGUGGUCAUUGACAAUGGUGGAGUGUGUGUAAAAGGAAGACGUGAGUAAGUGAUUUUCUUUUAAGGGUUUUACAAAUUUCUGAAGACCUAAAACUUUGUUUCUUUUUCAUUUGUAAUCCUUCUGAUACCUUGGCUGGAGGUGGGGUUAUAAAUGCAAUGCAGACAUUAAGCAUGCAACUUCCAGAUUGAGAACGCUGACAUUCUUCAACAGUGACUUUGGCACAAAGAAUCAGUGACUAUCAGAAUGACAAGAAUGGGAAAUAGCCACAAUCCUGCCCUAAAAAUGCUUCAAAAGCUGUUUGAGGUUCACCACAUUUUAGACACCAAUGCCAUGCUUCAGCCACAAGUUUAGCUCCUCGUAUGUCUGACCUAACUGAUUACACAUAUCAUAAAGGAGACCUGCCGAAAAGGGAAAAUAAAUGUGUGCUUUUAUUUUGUGUUUUAUGAUAUAUAAAGGAGACCUGGAAAAGUGCUUUUCGUUAUAUUUUUAGUUAGAAAUAUUAAGAUUACCAAGUCUAGUCUUUCCUGUUUGGCUGGAGGACUAGAUGGAGCUUUCUGAACCUGCAAUUUAAGAGGCAAAGUGUUUAAUCUUUCAGAGUUCUCUCCCAACUGUGUGAGUUAAAUUAAUGUUAACUAAAAAUCUCUUCAACUGCUCAGGUUGCAGUCUAUCAGAGGUGGUGUCAUAAUCCCACUCAUUUUCCAAUCAUCCAUAUAGAGUUCCAGGCGACCAGAGAAGACAAGAUCUAAUAUUUCUAAUCUAUCCAAGCAGGAAAUGGUCUGGGGAAAAAAAAGCUUUCAAGCCUUCAUGGUAUUUUUUUUUAGUACAGCAUCUGCAACCCACUCUUGUCUCUCUCAGAUCAUGUUUAAAGGAUAGAUAUUACAUGAAACAAAUAUAAUAAUUAUACUGAAUUAUGUGAGACCCAAGGAAAAUGUGUUCUUAGGACCUCUUUAAGAGGGGAAUCUUUAUUAGAAGCACCUUUCAUGGUAUGGGCCUCAUUGGAGGUGUCCUCGGGACAGCAGAAGUCUUCUGCGAGUUCUGACUCCAGCAGCAGGCUGGAAGCGUCUGCCUCCUUUGGUGGCUCCUGCCCAACUGAGCUGCAGGGCCCACCUCUUAUACUUCCUGUCCCUGUCCUGCCAUUCCACUUCUGGCAUGGUGGCCUAAGCCUUCUGGGUUCCGCACACCAGGGGACGUCGGGCUCUCCCUCGCUGUCAGUCUCUGAGGGAGGGCACUCCCCUUUGCUACAGCGCCCCAAACACAGCUCCCAGAAAUUUUUCCCUCAGUGGUAGCCAUUGGGUUAGCUCUGGUGCACACUCAUAGCACUAGUAUAAAGGGCCCAGCUGACCCUGUGCCCCCUCAGUUCCUUCUUUCCGGCCAAUUCCAAAAGAGGGGUUGUAGGGUGGGUCUUAGAAUGGAUAUAUGCAACAUAUCUUGAAGAACAACAGUUACAGAAAGGUUUCAGAGUAGCAGCCGUAUUAGUCUAUAUUCGCAAAAUGUAAAGGAGGACUUGUGGCACCUUAGAGACUAACCAAUUUAUUUGAGCCUAAGCUUUCGUGAGCUACAGCUCACUUCAUCGGAUGCAUUCAGUGGAAAAUACAGCGGGGAGAUUUAUAUACACAGAGAACAUGAAACAAUGGGUGUUACCAUACACACUGUAACAAGAGAGUGAUCACUUAAGGUGAGCUAUUACCAGCAGGAGAGCGGGGGGAGAGGGGAACCUUUUGUAGUGAUAAUCAAGGUGGGCCAUAUCCAGCAGUUGACAAGAACUUCUGAGGAACAGUGGGAGGGGGGAAUAAACAUGGGGAAAUAGUUUUACUUUGUGUAAUGACCCAUCCACUCCCAGUCUUUAUUCAAGCCUAAGUUAAUUGUAUCCAGUAUUCAAAUUAAUUCUAAUUCAGCAGUCUCUCAUUGGAGGCUGUUUUUGAAGUUUUUUUGUUGAAGAAUUGCAACUUUUAGGUCUGUAAUCGAGUGACCAAAGAGAUUGAAGUGUUCUCCAACUCAUGAAAAAUCUUGGAGUUAUUGUGGAUAGUUCUCUGAAAACGUCCACUUGAUGUGCAGCAGCAGUCAAAAAAGCAAACAAUGUUGGGAAUCAUUAAAAAAGGGAUAGAUAAUAAGACAAGCAAAUAUCAUAUUGCUUCUAUAUAAAUCCAUGGUAUGCCCACAUCUUGAAUACUGUGUGCAGAUGUGGUCACCCCAUCUCAAAAAAGAUAUAUUGGAAUUGGAAAAGGUUCAGAAAAGGGCAACAAAAAUUAUUAGGAGUAUCAAACAGCUUCCGUUGAGGAGAGAUUAAUAAGACUGGGACUUUUCAGCUUGGAAAAGAGACGACUAAAGGGGGAUAUGAUAGAGGUCUAUGAAAUAACAACUGGUGUGGAGAAAGUAAAUAAGGAAGUAUUAUUUACUUCUUCUCAUAACACAAGAACUAGGGGUCUUUGAUGUUCCCCUGGUGUUAUCUGGACCGGUGAUCUGCUAGGUCACUCCAAUCCUUUACUCUGGGAGCCAGCUUACCCUGCUCUGCUGUGACAGCUUCUACUCCUGGGCUGCUUGGAUUGUGCAACCAAAUGACACUAGCCAAUAUCUCCGAUCCCAGACACAACCCUAGGAACCUCUGUCUUCCAGUGUCCAGUUAUUCACCCUGGACACUGCAAGCUUAUAUGAGUUUUUCAGUUUAUCAAAGAAAUUGAUAUGUACCAGGCUUGUUAUCACAAAGGGAAUCUCUAACACACUUCAAACCAAACGCACUGCUUCAGGUAGAAUGAACAAAUUUAUUAACUACAAAGAUAGAUUUUAAGUGAUUAUAAAUCAAAGCAUAAGUUGAAUUUGGUCAAAUGAAAUAAAAGCAAAACACAUUCUAAGCUGAUCUUAACACUUUC